GAAACCAUAAGCUCUAAAUGGUAAGAGCACUCAGAAUUUUCUAGUCUGAGAGGUUGGUGGUUCAAAUCCUCCUGGUUUCA